ACCUAUAAAACACAUGGUAUACAAAUAAACAAAGAUUUUAUUUCACCAAACACUACAUACACUCUACAACACUUUCAAUGGCACAUAAAUAUCCAUUUAUCAUCCCAGAUUCAUCGUGGAAAAAGAAAGAAUGUACGACCUACCUCGGUGACUCGUCAUUCCAGGAGGAAAAGGUGGGAAUUGUUUAUAGCAAUUGCAAACGCGACGCGGUCGUUAAAGUGGCGGGUGGAGUAAUACUUGGUGUAAUGUUAUCGAACCUCUGCGCGACAAGUAAAAAAAAGAGCAACAUUAUGCACAUGGCCGACUUGGCCUUUGUUCAUCGGUGCGGGAUUGGGACUCGGAAUGGCGUCUGAAAAUUGCAAAAGAGAUUUAAAAUCUCUCUAUACGCCGAAACCGGACGAAAAGAAACAAUUCAUGGAUUCCAAACGACGUUAUAAAAACAAGUUUUGUAACGAAUGAAAAUAUAAACCUCAGAUCUUACAAUGUUCUUUGUGCCAGCAUCGUUUCAUAAAACAACCUUGUUCUCUGUCGUAAAAACCAAAAAGUCAAUGACGUUUGAGUAUUGUUUAAGUAUUGACGAUUCUUUUUUCUCCACGAUUUCUUAUACACAACGUAUAUACUCCACAAUAAAAAAUACGAUAAUACUAAA